UCGUUUUUUUCCAACUGCCUCUGACAGCCUCUGAUCUCCUGAAUGUGCUAUGCCAGGAAGAGCCAACUCCAAUAUUCCAAGCGUGCCUCAUCGAAUGAGUUUCCAUACGAUGUGCUGCUUGGACACUAGAAGUUAUCCUUGUACAGGAACUCCGAGGCGAUUUGAAGGACACAUGCCCCUGCUGAGCCCUUGCUGCUCAGAGAUAAAAUCCCCACAGGUUAUUUAUGCAUAACAUUGCUUCCUGUUUGCAUCAAACAGUCUCGCUUUGGACACUUCCUGAAACUUUAUUAAAAAUUGACUUUUCGAUGUGGCUCUGAGACUGAUCCUCUCAGGAAUGAGUGGUUAGAUGCUUGAUGAAGUGUCAGACGACCAAUCAACAGUAGACCUUUCUCUUCAAAGAGAUUGUACGACGCUUAUCGGAAAGACUUACGGGUCUUGGCUUCUGUGUCUAUCUGUUCUCUCUCCCGACCAAUUAUCAAGCCCAGCUGUGGGAAAACAUCUGCUAUAUCCUGUCGCUCUAUAUACUACUCACCAAAUAUUAAACUGGAUCAGAAAAAUGAAUUGGCAGGGAGUAUAGAGAAGCCGCAAGGAAUAGCCAAAGCAGAGUGUUUUGGCAUACUUCGCCUCGACUCUGACUAAUAUUACUGAGGACAUUGUCCGUCAUAAUUCUUAGCAUCCAAGUAAGUAAUUUCUUUUAGACUUAAGUACCAAAUACGUUUUGCUUCUCUCUAGGACAUCAGUGCUUUUCUCCUCAUGGACAAUGCAUGUAGCUGUAGUUACAGUUAACAAUGUAACUGACAACAUUUCCAUUUUUACUUCUGGUGGCAAGUAACUUAGAAACACUUCAGAAUCAAGUACUGUUACUCUUUUGGACCUCUUGGCCUAUAAAUUGGAGUUCUAAUGUUUCCCUCUGAUUCUAACAAUAUAAUCUGUUUUAUAUCUUUCUUGGUGUUUAAUUUAAUUUAAUUUAACUUAAAUUUUUUCUGGCAUAUGUUACCUUUAGGUCACCUCAGAACCUUUGUGAUUUAAGGAAGAUUAUCAAUCAGUUAAUAAAAAAAAAAAGCCAGAAGUUUCCAGUCAUUCUCAUAGGUUGUUUUCCUGCACCAUUUCUGACAAAUGGUCAGGGCCUGUGUGUUUUUUGGAUCAUCAUGUCAGGAGAAGGAUGCUUGGAAGAAAAAGCCAGAGUUCUCCUGACGUUGGUUUCCCCUGACAUCUCCCGCUAUCCAAGGCGGCUCAUUUGUCUCUGAGCCAAACUGCCAGGAUUCUCAGAGUCCUGCCUCCUCUUGGAAGUAAAGGGACUGAGGUUUGAAAGAGACAAUUUAUCUCCUCCAUGGAAGCAAAAAAGACCCCUACCUUUGUGGUAUAAAAUGUUGGAACUUUUAGGAUUAGUUUUCUUAUUUCUACCAUCAACCUAAUUAAACAACUACAUUUUGUCUGAAAGGAAGAUCGGAGUUAUUUUUAUAGUUUCACACCUGUGCGUAGGGCUCCAGGUUUGCCAACAAAAAGAACAACAAAAAGUACUGGGUGAAGUGGGUCAUUUGGACACGACAGAUUGCAGCGCACCGUCUCCUCCUUGCCUGUGGAGG